UUCCGCUUCCGGGUAGCGGCCGCGCUCAUGGCGGCGGAGCCCGGCUCGCCUCGGUGGCCUCCUGCCUCACCGGCAGCGAUGGACCCGCUUCUCUGCCCGGCGCCAGCCGCCCGGCGUUCCCUGGUCCCACCGCAGGCUCCGCGAUGCGGGCGGAGCGCAGGCCGAGCGCAGCCGUGGCUCAGCCGCUGCCUUCGAGCCUGGGUGCGGGCGGGCCCCGCGGCUGGGGGAGGGUUUCCUCCCGCUGCGCUCGGGUGGUGCAGGCGCCGGUAGAGCUGGGGGUGGGAGGCGAGUCGGGAGUCAGAACAGCGUUAGCGGCUACAUGGGCCCCGGGGAGGAGGCGGCUGCGGAGGGCGGGCUGCUCUGGGGUGUCGGCACAAAGGUGUGCGGGACGCAGCGGUGGAAGCGUGUCCCCAGAUGAGCAACGCCGUGGGGACAUCACCGUUUGUCGCCGUGGGCAGGCGGAGGAGGCAGCGGGAGGUGUUACGUGGGCGGCUGGCAGGGCUGGAUGGGCUGGCUCCCUGGCGGCCUUGGCCGUGGCUAGCGGUGCCUGCGUGCGCGCGCUUGGUGUUGGUUGAUUUUUAGUGAGGUGAAGCUGGUGGUUUGUGUUGCUGAGGAGCGAGCAGUUCUUUGCGUGCUCUGUUUUCCUACUAGGAGAGGAGACCUGCAUAACAGGUAGCUUUGCGCAGCUUGGUCUGUCGCUGGAACAGCUGAUGGGGGUGGUAGCGAGAGGGGGGGCUGGCUGGCUGCGCGUGCAAAGGGUUGGUUCAUUUGGUGCUGGAAGACACACAGAACCGCCCAGUAUCACCCAGAGAAGCACUGAAUUUGGAACAUGUCCUGGAAACAGCCUUGUGUGCAGCCAGCUUCAAUUUAGCUCCUGGGCAGAUGCCGGAUUCUUUCCAAGAACUUGGAGCAGGGCGUGGAGUUCACCUUCACCAGCCAGAUCCGUUCUAUAAUGAUUUAUAUCAUCUGUUCAGAAGAAAUAUUAAUGGGACUCCCCUAAGACUCCUGACAUGUUGCUGAUGUUCCUGUUAGAAGACCUAUCACCUCUUUUUGAAAAUAGUAAAAACAGCAUCAGUAUUCAAAUUGCAGAGCUUAAAUGCUAACAGUUAGUCACAAAUUAGGUUACUUAGAGGCAUUCUGCUGCUGAAUAGAAUUACUUGUUAUGAACUGGUGGUUUGAGGUUCUUAGAGAGUGCACAAGAAGGAGGACGUCUAAGAAGGAUAUUGUCAGCAGGAAGUCUGUUGUUUGUUUUUAAAAAGGAGAGGGCUAAAUUAGCUGGUGAGAAAGAUCAGAAGAGAAGUCUCAUUUCAGCUUAUCAGGACAGGGUAGGUGUCCGUGUGUCUUUCUGACUUGCGAUUGUGCCUGGAAAUGAAGUCCCUUAUCGUGCCUUGACAAAUAAGCUCUACUUUAAAUUUAAAAAAUUACAGAUGCUGUUCAUUCUUCUCCCCUAUAGGGAAAGGAGAGACAAUAAGGGAAAUUGACUUACAGGUUGGAAACUGAACUACACAGCUUAAAUAACCAGUAGUGACAAAAGAAAAAUAAUUAAAUAUGCACAAAAUAUAUACAAAACCACUACCGCUGACCCCCAAUAACAUUCACAUUGCCACUGGGGCUGCAAGGCGGGCCCUGGAAAAGUCCUAGACUGGACUCAGCAGCAGACAGGAGCUGGAUGCAGAAAGCAUGGGUUCAUAAACACAUGGAUCACAAUCAGGAUCAAAGGCAGAUGAACAGUUGGAGUCCUCCCAGGAAUGCCCACCAUAGACAAAGAGAGCUUGACUCUUGCGAUCGCUUAAAUUUAUACUGAGUGUGAGACCUAUGGGAUGGAAUACUUUGGUCAAUUUUGGUCACCUGUCCGAUCUGCUCCCCACAUCAGGGUUGCAGGUGUGACCCCUCUACUCCCUUCUUGUUCCAGAUCAUAAGAUGUUUUUCAGAACCAGGCAGUAGCCUUGGUUCUCCAUACCAUUCUUGAGCAGUAACUAUAAACAUCGAGCAUUAUCAGGCCUGGAAGCAGACACCGACUGCAAAAUAUGCCGUUAAUUUCAGCAAGUGCAGCUACUUAGAAGAGACUUAACUGAAAAGUAAAAUCACUAGAAAGAAAAUUGGUUCUAUCCUGGCUCAAACCAGGACAGAUGUCUAAAUUGUGAACACUGAAGAAACAUCUGUGAAAAGUUCCUGGUUAUUUUGAAGAUUUGCUAGUUUGAAAAAGUUGUCCAACAAGCAACAGAAACAUGGAAGUGCUCUAGGGGUUUUACUGCUGUAGAAACUCAGGUCCUGAGGAAAACUGAUGGUUGGAAUCUGAACUGCAUCUAACUUCCUGUUUUGGAUCUCACCUGGAGACCAAGAAGCAAGUUUGUUUUGAACUAGAUGGGUAAUUAAUACUUAAGGAUUUAUAGGUAUUCCCAAGAGGGUGUUUGCAUUAACUUUAAAGUACAACGGUCCACUUCAUAAAUGACAGAGGUGGAGAAUAUGUAUGAAAUUACUGAAGUCAGUUUAAGUGAUGGGUGAUCUAUGUGAUCUAUGGCAGUUUUUUUUGACCUAGGUUAUAUAAGGAUGCCUUUGACAGAGAGAGGUCAUGCUAAUAAACAAAGCAAAGAUGUCUGAGCCCCACAUUUACUGAACAGAAUGGAAGAUCAUGUUCAACCUUGAAUGUGGACCUUUAAACAAGACACUUUUAGACUUCAAGCCCACUUCUUAAUUACACUAAUCUCAGUAUAUGCCUCUUUCUAGUAAUGAUCUGCUUUGUGAAUUGUGAAGGGCAAGUGGUAGCACUUUUGUAAUAGAGGAGUAGAAUUCUUCUUUGGGAUAGGUAAGCUUCUUGAAACUAUUGUGCCUGACCAGAGUGUGUUAGACCACUGUUCCUUAUUUGCAGAUGGUAGUGGCACUUGAGUCUUUCAGUAUCACAGAAGAAGCAUAAUUUUAUAUACACCGGAUUCACGUGCAGUUCUGGGAAACCUCAUCUUUAAUGAGAACAUUCCUCUUCACUCAGGAGUUACGAAGGUCAAAAUCUUUCAUGGGCCUGAAAAAAGACUGGCUGAACUCAAGGAAGUAAAACUGAUCUGCUAAAUACAAAGAUACUAUUAUUGAAUCAAGUCUUGAGCCAUAGAAAGCUAGGGAGUUGGAUUAUAACUGUAUGUGUGUCCUAAUAUUUGCUUCCUCUUCAUUCACUUUUGUCCAGCAUUGCAAAAACAAGGUCCUAGGCUUUGCAUUUCUGAUUUAGCAAAUUGUGAUUUACUUCAAAUGCUGGAAACAUCUUCUUAUCCUUCAUAAUUGUAGGAAAACUCCAGGGCGCUCUCUGUAAGAAAGAUUAUCGUGCUUCGGUUAAGUUCUGGCACACUUGGUAGAGCUACAAUGGCAUGAGAUCUUCUGUUGGCUCCAUUCACUUUCAGGACGUGCAGUUGCAGUGAGGGAAAAGCUCCGAUUAGCACGCAUUUUGUGUCCACGAGGAGGCUCAGAAAACUCUGGUCUGGCAGCUGGUGAUCCUGGAGUUAUGCAUUUCACUAAACUGACAGGCUGUAGUAACUGAGUGUUUGUUUUAUCCGAGAGCAAUUACAUCUGUUCUUGUUCAGUGCUUUUGAAUUCCCUUAUCUCUUCUAUAUAAAGUUAAAAAAAACUUAGAGGGAGGUAUUUUUCUGUGUCAUGUUGAGAAAUGGAUCUCAUGUUAAGAAAACUUGCCCCAACAUCAGUAAACAGCACUGCCCAUUUGAUCUCCUUUGUGGCAGAAGACAGGGCCAAGCAUGUGUCAUCACACGUGAGUUUCAACUGUAUGAGAUACUACUCCAAAUAAAAAUUUGAGAAUUUUGCACACAUCAAUGUAUUUGUAAAUUAGGUGAAAUUGUUAUGGAGAAUCUUAAUUAUUAUUUUUUUUAAUCUUAGUAUUUUUAAACUUGGCACUGCAAUAUUUCAAUAAAGUUUUUGGUUUUUUCCAUCACA